rnacentral:rRNA from 1 species
GACGAACGCUGGCGGCGUGCUUAACACAUGCAAGUCGAACGGAAAGGCCCUGCUUUUGUGGGGUGCUCGAGUGGCGAACGGGUGAGUAACACGUGAGUAACCUGCCCUUGACUUUGGGAUAACUUCAGGAAACUGGGGCUAAUACCGGAUAGGAGCUCCUGCUGCAUGGUGGGGGUUGGAAAGUUUCGGCGGUUGGGGAUGGACUCGCGGCUUAUCAGCUUGUUGGUGGGGUAGUGGCUUACCAAGGCUUUGACGGGUAGCCGGCCUGAGAGGGUGACCGGCCACAUUGGGACUGAGAUACGGACCAGUCUCCUACGGGAGGCAGCAGUGGAGAGUAUUGCGCAAUGGGCGGAAGCCUGAUGCAGCAACGCCGCGUGCGGGAUGACGGCCUUCGGGUUGUAAACCGCUUUCGCCUGUGACGAGGCGUGAGUGACGGUAAUGGGUAAAGAAGCACCGGCUAACUACGUG